GUGAAGUGCGCGUGUGCAAUAACUCGAUUCGCCUUUUGCGCUCCUUCGAAACAAAGCGAUUGUGUUUUACAACUUUGGCGAAGGUUAAGUCUACUCUGUUCAUAAACGAUUCUAGUUUUGGGAACUGAAAACUGUACUGAGAUCUAAUGUUUCAUCGAUGAGAAAUUUUGCAGAAUGUCGACCAAAAUCCAUCUUCUCCCACGGGGCUUUCUCUCACUAACAUAUUUCCUCUCACUGUGGAAACGCAAAGGGGAUUCUUCACAUGUAUUCAUCUGGUGAAAUAUCUGUUCCGUCUCUGGCUGGAUCUCUUCAAGCCAUGACCCGGUUGGGGUUCGGCGAAUGUAUGUCGCAAGUGACAUCACUUGCGGCCAAUAAACUGCGAAACUGGCGUGGAAGGACUAUUUAAUUGAUAGAUGAAUUGCAUCUUAUUGGAUUUUUGUUUGUCAAACACCAAGCAACAUUUUCGAUUAAAGAUUUGUCUAGGUAGACAAGAACGCAGUGAGCGCUACUGUUUAAAAGCUUGCAUCGUUACCAUGGGGACUGGCCCCAAUCGCAACCUCAGAUGGCUAGCUAGAUUUGAUGAGAAGGAAAAUGUUUCCAACUGUAUUCAGUUGAAGACCUCGGUAAUCAAAUGCAUCAAAAACCAGCUAUUGGACCAUUUUCCAGACAUUGAGUCAAGGCUCAACCAUCUCAUGCCAAAAAAGGACCCUGUCAAAAUAGUGAGGUGCCAUGAACACAUUGAAAUCUUGACAGUGAAUGGAGAAUUGCUCUUCUUCAGACAAAGAGAAUGACUGUUCUACCCAACUCUGACUGCUGCAUAAGUGUAAAACCUCCACUCUUUUUGAUGUGCAGACACCUUUAUUCUUCCACACCAACAAGUAAAGGGGCCAUCAAGUUUGUCCUAAGUGGAUCCAAUAUCAUGUGCCCUGGAUUGACAUCCCCAGGUGCCAAACUCUACUCUUCUGCCUCAUGCAUGAUCAUGUAUGGUGCCUUGAGAAAGUAUACAUACACCUUGACUUAUUCCACAUUUUGUGUUACAGCCUGAAUUCAAAAUUGAUUAAAUGCUUUUUCUUACCCAUCUACACACAAUAUCCCAUUACGAAAGUUAAAACCUGUUUAGACAUUUUUGCAAAUGUAUUGAUAAUGAAAUGGAGAAAUAUCACAAGUAUUCAUACCCCUGAGUCAAUGUCAGAAUCACCCUUGGCAGUGAUUACACCAGGAUUGUUCAAUAUUUGCACAUUCUUUUUAAACUUAUUCAAGCUUUGUCAAGUUGAUGUUGAUCAUCGCAAGACACCCAUUCAAGUCUUGCCAUAGAUUUAAGUAGAUUUAAGUUGAAAUUGUCACUCGGGAACAUUCAAUGUGAUCUUGGUAAGCAACUCCUGUAUAUUUGGCCUUGCGUUUUAGGUUAUUGUCCUGCUGAAAGGUGAAUUUUGUCACCCAGUGUCUUUUGGAAAGCAGACUGAACCAGGUUUUUCUCUAGCAUUUUUUUCUGUGCUUAGCUAUAUUCCAUUUAUUUGUAUCCAAAAUAAAUACCUUGUCCUUGCCGAUGACAAGCAUACUCAUAACAUGAUGCAGCCACCACCAUGCUUGAAAAUAUGAGGAGUGAUACUCAGUGACAUGUUGUUGGAUUUGCCCCAAACAUAAUGCUUUGUAUUCAGGACAAAAAAGUAAAUUUCUUUGAAUUGUA